GUCUCAGUUCGGAUUGGAGUCUGNAACCCGACUCCAUGAAGCUGGAUUCGCUAGUAAUCGCGCAUCAGCCACGGCGCGGUGAAUACGUUCCCGGGCCUUGUACACACCGCCCGUCAAGCCAUGGAAGCCGGGAGUGCCCGAAGCCGGUGAGGUAACCGAGAGGAGCCAGCCGUCGAAGGUGAGACCAAUGACUGGGGUGAAGUCGUAACAAGGUAUC
rnacentral:rRNA from 1 species